rnacentral:rRNA from 1 species
GACGAACGCUGGCGGCGUGCUUAACACAUGCAAGUCGAACGGAAAGGCCCUGCUUUUGUGGGGUGCUCGAGUGGCGAACGGGUGAGUAACACGUGAGUAACCUGCCCUUGACUUUGGGAUAACUUCAGGAAACUGGGGCUAAUACCGGAUAGGAGCUCCUGCUGCAUGGUGGGGGUUGGAAAGUUUCGGCGGUUGGGGAUGGACUCGCGGCUUAUCAGCUUGUUGGUGGGGUAGUGGCUUACCAAGGCUUUGACGGGUAGCCGGCCUGAGAGGGUGACCGGCGAGAGGGUGAGGGCGAGCGGGCGACGACGACGGGGGGAGGCAGCGGUGGGGAAGAUGGAAGGGGCGGCGGAAGCGUGCGGCAGCCGCGCGGGGGGCGGGCGGACGGCGUGGGGGUGGUAACCCGCUGGCGCGGGGGAAGAGGGGGGAGUGACGGUAAGGGAAAAAGAAGCACCGGCCAACGAGGGGCAAGCAGCGGCGUUAAUAAUGGGAGGCGCACACGUCGGAAC